GAUUGACUUCUCUUGCAGAUAUCAAUCUUGCACAAAGAUGGCUUUCAACCUAUUUUGGUGUGACAUCCUUUGAAUAGUAAGCCUCCUCCUCUACCUUUUGUAGAUUAUACUGAAAACAAUAUUUAGCACAUGGGGAGAAUCUGACAUCUUCCGGUCAAGCCGCCAAAAACCUUUAUCGAAAUGAAUUGGAAUAUUUCUACAAUCUAGAGUCUCUAAUCUAAUCAAAGCAAAGGUCCAUUACGUGGACAUGUUUAUUUCUUCCUACAGUAUAUAAAAGAUUCGAGCACAUUGAAGAUGCUACUCUUUACCUUGAUGUUGCAUCUAUAUAAAGUUUCCAAUUUGUUGGGGCAUUCCAUGUGUAGCUGGACCUGGGAGUUUGUGUUGUUUGCAAUUUGGAGAGCAUGUGUUUUGUUGACGCAGUGGUAGUUUGGAACUAAAAAUCUGAUGCUGGAAGGAAAAUAGUGGUCAUCAUCUCAGCAUAUGUUUGUUAAGCAAGAUUUGUAGCUAAGUAUUACCUGAUAUCUCAUCAGUCAUCCGUCUACCACUUGAGCCAAGGCCCAAUUGCAACAUCUUACCUACUAUUUUUUAUUGUUAUUUUUGGUGAAGUGUAGUUACUUCUUUUCCCCUUUGGAUAAAUU